CCUAUCUGUAUUACCAAGCGUAUUGACAUUGUGAUCAUUACAUUACAUUAGUUAAAGAAAAAAUGCAAAGAGGUUAACAAACAUGAACAAUUAAAGCAUGGAUGAAUGCAAAAGGUAUAGCGAGAAUGAGGAAGGAGAAAUUAUAUCAGAUUUUGAAGAGGAUUUUACAGAAGAGUUAUCUAACUAUCCUCAUAUUUCACAAUUUAUAUACAAGCUACGUGACCAUAUCAAGAAGCAACGGAAGAAAAUUAAUAAACUACGAAAUAAACUUGCUGAACAGAAACAUCAAAAUCUACUUCAUGAGAAAAUAAGUAUAGACUGUGGGAUUCAAACAGAUCCUCUGAAUCUCGAUAAGUCUUCAUCGCAAGAUUGGAAUAUUAGUAACAAUGAUAGAUCACCUAGUAUAGUAGAUCAAGUGAAGCAGGUAGCAGAGUCAGCUUUAUUACAAACUGGUUUUGUAUAUGAAGAAACAUCUGGAAUGUAUUAUGAUUAUAAUACUGGAUAUUAUUAUGACACGAGACAAGGCCUGUAUUAUGAUGGAAAUACUGGGACAUAUUACUACUACGAUGAAGCUAGUAAGACGUAUCAAUUCCACAGUCAAGUCCAAGUUUGUACAAAUGAAGCUACCAAUACGCAUCAUCCUGUUACGCAAAAGAGGGAAGAACAGAGCUCUGGGAAAGUAGAUAAGGAUAACGUGAAAAAACGAAAAUAUGAAGAAGAAAAUUCGGGAGAACCUGAGGAUGGUGAAUGUUCAGAGAGCGAGACUGACGACAUAUCUGAAGAAAUUACUCCUGAUCUAUCUACUAAUAGCGAAAGCGACCGUGAAGAGGAACCAGAUAUAGCAAAAAGUUACCCACCAUGCAUGAGGAUUAUUGUGAAAGAGACUAAUUUGGCGAAAUUAAAAGUGGGAUGCCUUUUCGUCGUAACAUAUACAGGAGGUUCAUUGGGUAGAGAAGGAGAUCACUCGGUAUUGAUACCGGAUGUAAAUAUCAGCAAGUACCACGCACGCUUUAUAUACGACGAAAUGAAGAAGCAGUAUCAAGUAAUAGAUUCUGGCUCAAGAAACGGCACAUUUUUGAACGGCAAGAGACUGUCGGUAGCUAAACAGGAAUCCGAGCCUCACGAGAUAACGCAUGGUUCGGUCAUAAAGACCGGCGAAACAAAACUGCUGUGCCACAUUCACAACGGAAAUGAGACAUGCGGUCACUGCGAGCCAGGUCUCGUCCAACGGAACAUCAAUUCCUGCGAAAGCAAAACUUGGAAGAAAAAACUUCACAAGGAGGAGCUACGGCGUCUAAAACACAAAUUCGGAGUCGAUAAUGUUAUAUCCGGCAAUCAAUUCGCUUCGGGUUAUCAGGAUAGAGCGCAAGCUAGAAGACAAUACGUGGGUUCCUCCGAUCAUCAUGCUAAGACGCAACAGAGUUCCCUCGACUGGUCGAUAUCGAAGGACAACAAAGGAUUCAAAAUGCUGGCGAGAAUGGGCUGGUCAGAAGGUAGUUCCUUGGGUAAAGACAAAGACGGAAUAACGGAACCCCGACAACGAAAACAGUGUCGAGGGUAAAAGGAAGACGAAAGCGGAGAUCGCGCGCCUACCACCGAGAAAACUUGCCGGCCGGUGUGCAAGCCGCGACAACUUGAUUUUACGUACGUCCUCCUAAUCCUCGAUACAGUCCAUCGGAGCGGACUGAAUUGUCGCCAAAUUCACAAGAUUCCUCAGCAAAGUUUACAAAACAAUGGCUUCCUUCACCAGCCGUAAAUUGAUAGACCUUUUAUGGACCACUCGAGGAUUCUCUUCUCGCGAUUCUUCGACGUCUCCUCCAUAUUUUUCAUCGAUCAUAACGCCGGCUUCAUUAACGCCACAUUAAUGAGGGAGAGAAAGGGGAGAUGUGCGUCGUCGGUUCCAAAAGCAGAAUCGACGAAAUAACGCGCAAGAUUUACGAUACGCUAACCGAAUAGAAGAUAAGAAAAUUGAACGAAAAACGGAAGAAAGAGAGAAAGAAAAGCCAAGCGGCGGGAAGCAGAAAGAGGUAAAAGAGGGAUGAGAGAACUUGUGGCGGCGCGUUCGGAAGAGACGCAGGAGGCAACAGGUGGGAAGCCACAGUCACAAAUAAAUCCAACGCAAACAUCUCCGCUGUCUAGACGCCUAUUCGUUGACUAACCGUAGAUACCUAUCAAAAGCAGUCACAACAAGAGCGGUCUCGGAUCGAGCGAGGUGGACUUUUCCAACAUCGAGAUGGACGUUAACGUAGAG